rnacentral:rRNA from 1 species
GAUGAACGCUGGCGGCGUGCCUAAUACAUGCAAAUCGAGCGAAGCGGGGACGGGUGAGUAACACGUGGAUAACCUCCUAUAAGACUGGGAUAACUUCGGGAAACCGGAGCUAAACCGGAUACUUAUAGUUGGAUCCGCGCUGCAUUAGCUAGUUGGUGAGGUAACGGCUGACCAAGGCAACGAUGCAUGACCGACCUGAGAGCGUGAUAGGCUACACUGGAACUGAGACACGGUCCAUCCUCCUACGGUAGGCAGCAGUAGGGAAAUGUCCGUAAUGGGCGAAAGCCUGAUGGAGCAAAGCCGCGUGAGUGAUGAAGGUCUCCGGAUGGUAAAACUCUGCUAUUAGGGAAUCGGUACCUAAUCUGAAAGCAACGGCUAACUACGAGCCAGCAGCCGCGGUAAUUC